ensembl:Y_RNA Y_RNA Y RNA
GGCUGGUCCGAGUACAGUGGUGUUUACAACUAAUUGAUCACAAUCAGUUACAGAUUUCUUUGUUCCUUCUCCACUACCACUGCUUCACUUGACUAGCCUUAA